GGGCACCCCCCCAGCCCGGUGUCCCUGUCCCCAUCCCCGCAGCCUCGGUGUCCCCGCAGCGUCCCCGUCCUCCCAGUGUCCCCCAGUUCUCCCAGUCCCCGGUGUCCCCAGCCCACUGAGGUGCUCCCGAUGUCCCCGUCCCGCUCGGGUGUCCCCACGUCCCCGUCCUCCCAGAGCGUCCCAGUGUCCCAGUGCCUGGUGUCCCUGUCCCCCUGGGAUGUCCCUGUCCCCUUAGGGUGUCCCAGUGCCCGGUGUCCCAGUGCCCAGUGUACUGGUGCCCGGUAUAGCAGCUCCCAGUGCCCAAUGUCCCACUGCCCGGUGUCCCUGUCCCCUUGGGGUGUCCCGGUUCCCCGUGUCCCAGUGCCCAGUGUCCCCAGAUUGUCCCACUGCCCAGUGUCCCUGUCCCCCCGGGGUGUCCCGGUGCCCAGUGUCCCCAGAUAGUCCCAGUUCCCAGUAUCCCAGCUCCCAGUUCCCGGUGUCCCAGUUCCCAGUGUCCCAGUGCCCGCUGUCUCGGUUCCCAGUGUCCCUGUCCCCCUGGGGUGUCCCGGUGUCCCCAAAUUGUCCUGGUGCCCGGUAUCCCAGCUCCCAGUGCCCGGUGUCCCAGUUCCCGGUGUCCCUGUCCCCAUGGGGUGUCCCAGUAUCCCCAGUUUGUCCCAGUUCCCGGUGUCCCAGCGCCCAGUAUCCCCAGUUUGUCCCAGUUCCCGCUGUCCCAGCGCCCAGUAUCCCCAGUUUAUCCCAGUUCCCAGUAUCCCUGCCCCCUGGGGGGUGUCCCGGUAUCCCAUCGCCCCAUCUCCCGUUCCCCCCCCCCAUUUCCCGGUCCCCCCCCAUUCCCCAUCCCCUCUUCCCGGUGCCGGUGCCGGUGCCCGGCGGGGCCCUGGCUCCUCCCCGGUGAGUCACGGGAGGGGGGGGCCGGGGGAUGGGGGUGGGGGGGGGGGGGGGCCCCGCCCCCCCCCCCCCCCCCCGGCCACUUUCCGAGGGGAACGGGAGAGGCAGCGCCGAGCCCGGCCCCGCUCCGCCAUGGCCCCGGGCCCCCCCCGGUGCCGGUGCCGGUGCCGGGCGCUGCUCCCGGUGCUGCUCCCGUUGUUGUUGCCCCCCCCGCCCCCCGCCGCCGCUUUUAACCUGGAGGAGUCGCGGCCCGCGGCUUUCCGGGGGGCUCCGGGGUCUCUUUUUGGCUUCGCUUUGGAUUUUU
rnacentral:lncRNA from 1 species